AAUGAACGAUGGCGGCAGGCCUAACACAUGCAAGUCGGACGAACGGCGGACGGGUGAGUAAGGUAUGGGGAUCUGCCUGAUGGAGGGGGAUAACUACUGGAAACGGUAACUAAUACCGCAUACGAUCCGAUGAACCCAUAUGGGAUUAGCUGUUAGGUGCGGUAACGGCUCACCUAGGCGACGAGCCAUAGCUGGUCUGAGAGGAGGAAAAUCCACAAUGGGACUGAGACACGGCCCAGACUCCUACGGGAGGCAGCAGUGGGGAAUAUUGCACAAUGGGCGACAGCCUGAUGCAGCCAUGCCGCGUGUAUGAAGAAGGCCUUCGGGUUGUAAAGGACUUUCAGUCGGGCGGCUUUACCGACAGAAGAAGCACCGGCUAACUCCGUGCCAGCAGCCGCGGUAAUAC
rnacentral:rRNA from 1 species